CCAGGGUUUGGUAGGGCAAGAGGGCAGGUGGGUGCAAUGUUUCUUCUUUUGAUGUGUUCUUGUCUUCACCUCAGGGACCUGGACGCCCUGCCUGUUGAGGCAAGGUUGUGGAUGUCCCGGGCCUUAUGGUCACUGCUUCGCAUGAUGUGGGGCAGCAUCCAUCUGAACGCUCAUCACUACCAAGGCCAAGGUUUUGGAAGGAAGUCCUUCUUCUCCCAUCUUAGUAUUAGACCAUCGGAUUUGGGACACGGGACUAAGGCCGCUGACUCUGCAUCCCUUACAAGCAUACACAGCUGCCUGCCCUUUUGCCUUGUGUCCAUCCUGGAGCGGCCUUCUGCAAGAUUCUAUGUUACCUGUCCUCGGUCCACUUGGAAUCUCUUGAGAGAGCCGAGUCCUGUGUGUUCCUAGGCCCUGCCACAGGGACCUGGACGCCCUGCCUGUUGAGGCAAGGUUGUGGAUGUCCCGGGCCUUAUGGUCCCUGCUUCGCAUGAUGUGGGGCAGAAUCCAUCUGAACGCUCAUCACUACCAAGGCCAAGGUUUUGGAAGGAAGUCCUUCUUCUCCCAUCUUAGUAUUAGACCAUCGGAUUUGGGACACACGACUAAGGGCGCUGA